rnacentral:misc_RNA from 1 species
GGAAAAUGUUCUUUUUUGUAUAUUAAUCGACAGUUUAGAGCGCUAAUGAAUAAUGUUAGAUAUUCACAGUCAGAAAGUUGACUAUUAGCAUUGAUGGUUUGGAACAAUAUAUAUAUAUACACAUCUGUGAUUCACAUAUGAGCUUUUGUGAUUUUGGGAAUUUAUUGUCCUCCAUUCAAUUAAUUACUCGGUUUGUGAAUUUUAUAUAUGGUUUGUGAUUCUACAAAAGGAUAUGUGAUUUGUUGGUUUUUUUUUUAUUUGUUAUCUAUGAUUUUGUUGAGGGAAUUUGACUUUGAACUUGGAAUUUGAUGGAUUGUGGGAAAAAGAGGGGGGGAGGGUUGGGGGGCGUGGA